rnacentral:rRNA from 1 species
GACGAACGCUGGCGGCGUGCUUAACACAUGCAAGUCGAGCGGAAAGGCCCUUCGGGGUACUCGAGCGGCGAACGGGUGAGUAACACGUGAGUAACCUGCCCCAGACUUUGGGAUAACCCUCGGAAACGGGGGCUAAUACCGGAUACGACACAGCUUCGCAUGGGGUCUGUGUGGAAAGUUUUUCGGUUUGGGAUGGGCUCGCGGCCUAUCAGCUUGUUGGUGGGGUGAUGGCCUACCAAGGCGACGACGGGUAGCCGGCCUGAGAGGGCGACCGGCCACACUGGGACUGAGACACGGCCCAGACUCCUACGGGAGGCAGCAGUGGGGAAUAUUGCACAAUGGGCGGAAGCCUGAUGCAGCGACGCCGCGUGAGGGAUGACGGCCUUCAGGUUGUAAACCUCUUUCAGCAGGGACGAAGCGUAAGUGACGGUACCUGCAGAAGAAGCGCCGGCCAACUACGUG